GCACAUGUGGCGCAACCGGUUACGCUGUUGUUUUUGAAUCAGUCGACGCGGGUUCGAACCCCAAC